rnacentral:rRNA from 1 species
ACAUGCAAGUCGAGCGGUAACAGAGAUAGCUUGCUAUCUGCUGACGAGCGGCGGACGGGUGAGUAAUGCUUGGGAAUAUGCCUUUGAGUGGGGGACAACAGUUGGAAACGACUGCUAAUACCGCAUAACGUCUACGGACCAAAGGGGGGGAUGCUUCGGCACCUCUCGCUCAUUGAUUAGCCCAAGUGAGAUUAGCUAGUUGGUAAGGUAAUGGCUUACCAAGGCGACGAUCUCUAGCUGGUUUGAGAGGAUGAUCAGCCACACUGGGACUGAGACACGGCCCAGACUCCUACGGGAGGCAGCAGUGGGGAAUAUUGCACAAUGGGCGAAAGCCUGAUGCAGCCAUGCCGCGUGUGUGAAGAAGGCCUUCGGGUUGUAAAGCACUUUCAGCGAGGAGGAAAGGUUAGUAGUUAAUAGCUGCUAGCUGUGACGUUACUCGCAGAAGAAGCACCGGCUAACUUCGUGCCAGCAGCCGCGGUAAUACGAGGGGUGCAAGCGUUAAUCGGAAUUACUGGGCGUAAAGCGUGCGUAGGUGGUUUGUUAAGCAAGAUGUGAAAGCCCCGGGCUCAACCUGGGAACUGCAUUUUGAACUGGCAAACUAGAGUUUUGUAGAGGGUAGUGGAAUUUCCAGUGUAGCGGUGAAAUGCGUAAAGAUUGA